GACGAGUCUCACAAACGUUAUUCGGAAUUACUGGGCUUAAAGGGUGCGUAGGCGGUGGAGUAAGUCGGAUGUGAAAUACCUUAGCUUAACUAGGGAACUGCACUCGAUACUACUUUGCUAGAGUAAGACAGAGGUGAGUGGAACUGAGGGUGGAGCGGUGAAAUGCGUUGAUAUCCUCAGGAACACCGGUGGCGAAGGCGGUUCUCUGGGAAUAUCCUGACGCUGAGGAGCGAAAGUGUGGGGAGCGAACAGG
rnacentral:rRNA from 1 species